GUCAGGGACGCCCACGGAUUGCAAGGAUAUCUUCAUCCACAACAAGGAGUACCCACUAAAAAAUAACAUAUCCAAGCAUUGCGAGUGUACAGUAGAAUACAAUACGUCAGAUGGCUUUCCGAAUGUGUCGUUUUCCCACAUCGAUCUUCCGAAUGGAAAGGACGAAACGCUUUACGUCACGGAUGGCACGUUGAAACGAAAUAAACACAAUUGUGCGGGCGACAACAUAAAUUGUCCAAUUUCGGUAGAAGUAAUGGAUUCGACGAAUGGUACUCUGAAGGUUGUUUCAGAGAAAAUUAGUGCGGAAGGCAAAUUUUGGAUAAAGGUUUCAGCGCAACGGGGAAUGAAGUUCACGUGUGGGGAAGUCCCAGCUUCAACUCGGACUGAAGUCUCAACGACAAGCGGACCCA